rnacentral:rRNA from 1 species
GACGAACGCUGGCGGCGUGCUUAACACAUGCAAGUCGAACGGAAAGGCCCAGCUUGCUGGGUACCCGAGUGGCGAACGGGUGAGUAACACGUGGGCGAUCUGCCCUGCACUCUGGGAUAAGCCUGGGAAACUGGGUCUAAUACCGGAUAUGAUCAACUGUCGCAUGGGGGUUGGUGGAAAGCUUUUGCGGUGGGGGAUGGGCCGGCGGCCUAUCGGCUUGUUGGUGGGGUAAUGGCCUACCAAGGCGACGACGGGUAGCCGACCUGAGAGGGUGGUCGGCCACACUGGGACUGAGACACGGCCCAGACUCCUACGGGAGGCAGCAGUGGGGAAUAUUGCACAAUGGGCGCAAGCCUGAUGCAGCGAGGCCGCGUGAGGGAUGACGGCCUUCGGGUUGUAAACCUCUUUCACCAGGGACGAAGCGUGAGUGACGGUACCUGGAGAAGAAGCACCGGCCAACUACGUGCCAGCCGCCGCGGUAA